rnacentral:rRNA from 1 species
CACGAACCGUACGAACGUUAUUCGGAAUUACUGGGCUUAAAGGGUUUGUAGGCGGCCUUAUAAGUCAGGUGUGAAAGCCCUCGGCUCAACCGAGGAAUAGCGCUUGAUACUGUAAGGCUUGAGGGAGACAGGGGUAAGCGGAACUGAUGGUGGAGCGGUGAAAUGCGUUGAUAUCAUCAGGAACACCGGUGGCGAAGGCGGCCAACUGGGCCGGACCUGACGCUGAGGCGCGAAAGCCAGGGGAGCAAACGGG